GGAAGGGUAAUUUGUGACUUGAGUGGGGGAGGGGUACAGGGGGGAUGAUGAGCCAGUCAAUGACUGUUCCACAAUAUAUGAAGUAGAAAUAGGGGCUGGAGAGAUGGCUCUGUGAUUAAGAACAUUUACUACUUUUCCAAAACACCCAAGUUCUGAUCCUAGCAUCCAUAUCAGGUGAUUCACAAUUACCUGUGACUUCUGCUCAAGAGGGAUCCAAUACACUCGUCUGUCCUAGGUGGACAUAAAAUAAAGCAGAAAUAGUAUCAUGGUUGAAAUUCUGAGUUUAGGGAGAAUUCUUCUUAGAAAAUGAUGCAUUCAAUUUGAAUAUAACAAGUGAAAAGAAGGGCAAAACCCGUUGUAAGUUUUUUGAAAAUACCAAAUAGGAACUUGUACACACACACACACACACACACACACACACACACACACACACAUAUGCACACACUAGCAAUAACUUAUGAAAAAAGAGCCCAUGAAUUCAAAAGGGAACAAAGAUAUGAGUGGGCUUUGAGAGAGGAAGGAAGGACAGAAAUAAAGAAAUAUUAUACCUCUCAAAAAUAAAAGAAAUAAAAAUUAUAAAACAAAAUAAAAUUAAUUAUUGGGUUUCUUCAAAUGCCAAAAUCCACUAAAAAAAACAAAAACAAAACAAAACAAAACAAAACAAAAAACAGGACAAAGGAUGGACCAGAAUGGGGCAGCAUUUGGGGUUUAAAUAAAUAAAUAAAAUGAGAAUGUACAUCUCUGAAAUCAAAUUCAUGGCUUAAAAGUAUGUAACAUGAACUUAACAUAGGAAGAAAAAAAAAGAAAUUAUCCGCAUGUUAUGUUCAAACUCUAGCAUAUAUAUUUUUUGCAUUUUAUUGAGAUUAUAUUGUCAUAAAUGUAUUGCCCAAUGGACACAUUCAAAUGUCCUGUCAGUAAGUAUCUUAUAAAUAAUUUAUUUUUCUGACUCAAAUAAUGAAAGAAACCAAACCUAGAUACUGUAGUCUAGAGACUUCACCCAUAUUUUAUUAGACUGUCCAGAUAAAAUGUAUAAGCUAAUCUCAUAAUCAUGUGUAAGAAGCAGAAGUAGUAUACAAAAUUAAGAGGCUGAAACUGAUAGUGAGUAAAUUAUGUAAUUCUUACAGAAGUGUGACUCAAAGGACGAAAUAACUAUAGAAGAUUUUUAUAAGAAUAGGAAAAUAAGAAAUCCUUAGGAAGACUAAUAAAAUGAAAUUGUCAAGUUAAAGAAGCAAACUUGAAUCAAAAUAUUCCUAGAAAGCUAAAACUAAGUAGAAUCAACAAAGAACAAAGCAGGUAUGGCAGGCCAUUUGUUAUGGUAGCGUGAAGGGUAUAGACACCAUAGAAGACAGAGGAGUUCAUGGAAAUGCAUGGGUGAGUAAACAAGAAGAGGCAAAGAAAACAGUAAGGGAAGAUGGAAGGCAAAGAGCAUAAUUUAAAGAGAAGGGGUGUCCCUGGAGAAGGGCCUCAGCAAGUGAAGUAGAAAAUAUAAAUGGGGGGGUUGGGAGAUGACUUAGCAGUUAUGAGUAAGUACUAUUCUUGCAGAGUCCCAGCACCCACAUUGAGGGACUCACAAUUGUCUGUAACUCUAGCUUCAGGCCGUCCACUGCCCUUUUCUGGACUCUGCAGGUGUCUGUAUUCACAACCAAUCACACACACACACACACACACACACACACAGAGAGAGAGAGAGAGAGAGAGAGAGAGAGAGAGAGAGAGAGAGAGAGAGAGAGAGAGAGGGGGAGAGAGACAGAGACAGAGACAGAGAGACAGAGAGAGAAUAAAUCUAAAAAGAAAAAAGUGAAUGUAACAAUUCUUACCUUGGAAAAUGCCAUUCAUGUGCAUGUUUAAUAGACAUAUUGAGUAUUAAAUAAAAGCAUUCAGAACAGUUGAAAAAUGAGUUGUCUUUUUCAACUUUAAAAGAAAAUAAAAACUUUGUUGUUGUUGUUUGAGUCAGAAAAAUAAAUUAUUUAUAAGAUACUUACUGACAGGACAUUUGAAUGUGUCCAUUGGGCAAUACAUUUAUGACAAUAUAAUCUCAAUAAAAUGCAAAAAAUAUAUAUGCUAGAGUUUGAACAUAACAUGCGGAUAAUUUCUUUUUUUUCUUCCUAUGUUAAGUUCAUGUUACAUACUUUUAAGCUAUGAAUUUGAUUUCAGAGAUGUACAAAUAUCCAGGCAGUAAACUAAGUCAACAGAAAGGUGGUAGGGUGGGGAGACUCAUUCUGUGCACAAGACACACAAUAGAGCUGUAAGAAAGAAUAUGAUUUGAGACUACAUGUCACUCCAGUACAAUUGAUAUAGUCCAAAUGAACUCAGAACUCUUUACUGAUAAACUCUUGCUAGCACAGCAACACCAACAGCUGAAGGAAUAGAGAAGAGUUCUCAUGAACACGAUCAUUGUAGAUAGCAACCACUUGAUAUAAGAAUAAGAUUCAUCAUUAUGGCUACUGCGGUUACAGACCAAAAGGAAAUGUUAUAAACCUUAACAAAAUCGAGUAAUACAAACAACAGAGUUGGAAGAUGGAGGAAUAGCAGCAGAACUAAUCGAAUUUUACUGUCGUCAGCCAUGUCUAAAACCCAAUUGAGCCAGUUUCACAAGGAAGAUACUAAGAUCUCAAAAUUUUGAAUUUUUUUUUCUCAGCUUACAAGGACCUAUGGGGCUUGAUGUUUUCUAUAGGGAAGAAUUUCUUGAGUUCAUGAUUCCUUUUAGUACCACUUCACUUACUACCAAAAAAAUCAACUAAAUUGCUUUUAACAUUUUAAAAAAUAGUAUGAAUGAGCCAAGCUUGGUGAUACAUUUCUUUAACCCCAGAACUCAAGAAGCAGAGGCAGGAGGCAGGAGAGGCAGGUGGAUGUCUCUGAGUUCAAGCCCAUCCUUGUUCACAUUGAGAGCUUCAGGCCACUCCAUUUACAUGGUGGGAUCUUAUCUCACAAUGAAAGCAACAAUAACAAAACAACAACAACAAAAACACAAUGGUGUUUCUUCAGCAGGGUGUUAGGUGCUUGUCAAAUGAAUAUGUUCAAUUUGUGAAAAUGUGUCAAGCUGACACAUUUGAUUGAUUAUUUUCUGCAUAUAUGUUAUGCACGAUGGUGGAAAGCCCUUCAUGCCACUUCAAGGAAUUUGGCAAGAAUUUGACAUUGGCUGGGGAGAAGAAAGUAGGCACAAUUAAAUAAAGCCAAGGAAUGUAUGAUAUUCCUUUUAUCUUGGUCAUCCUGAUAAACCCCUAGAUAUGUAGAAGUAAAAAAAUACUAAGCUUUUUGAACUGUGGAACCUUAGGGUGAGCCAUCCUUCCUUUUGGGGCGGAGGUUCAAGACAGGGUUUCUCUGUGUAUCCCUGGCUGUCCCGGAACUCACUCUGAAGACUAGACUGGCCUAGAACUCAGAGAUCUAUCUGCCUCUGACUUCCCAGUGUUGGGAGUAAAGGCUGGGCCACUGUGCUAGCAUGAAGUUCAGUGGUAGAGCACCUAACUGAUUUGUAUAAGAUUGUAUGUUCAAUCUUCAUUACCAUAGAGAGAAAAUGCUGAUUUUUUAUUGGCUUUUGGACCUUACUGUUAAAGAGAUGAUAUCCUUGGAGGUGAUCCUCUUAAAGGAAUGCUUUUCUAUAACUCCCUGAAAGCUAUUCUAAGUAUUCAUUUGGAUAGCACAUUUAUGUACGGACCUUCAUUCACCUUUGUCAUUCUGUUGAUUGCUUGUGAUUGGAAAUACUUAUAAAUAUCUGAUAUUGGGUAUCCUUCCUGUGAUUUCUCCCCUUCUGAACCAAAAACUAAAAAAGAGUAUAUUGGUGGAGUUGUGACUCUUCCUGUGCCUUCAUAUCUCCCUUAAGUCUGAUCAGAGGCCUAUGUUGUCUAUGUAAGUUUUUAGUUAGGUUGCACUGCCCAGAUUUUCUUAGCCAAUUUAGCUUACAAACAUUGCACUUUAUGUUAGCAUUAGUCUUGAGCAGUCCACAAUCCAGCUGGAACACACGAUCAAUUUCUUUGUCACCUAAAUGAUUCCACAAUUACUAGAAAUUUGGAAAUGUAUGAGUAUGCCAUUAAUGGGUACCUUUACUUUGCUCUAAUUAUCAUUUUGUUCCUGGAAAAUAUUAAACAAGGAGACACAUUUUCCAUUUUAAAAACUCUGAGUGCCUUGUGUAAUUUAAUUUGGUGCAAAGUGAGCGAUUAUCUUGGCCAGAAUUAUAAAAACGCUUAUGUGUGGCAUAAUUUGUUCACCAUUAUUUGUUGUAAAUAUUUAUCUAGUAAUACAUGGUACCCAUAGAAAUGACCCCUUGAUUUCUCCUGAAUGGACUCAAAUGUCUUCCCAAUUCUGAUUUAAACUAGGUGCAAAUCUAAGCGGAUUGCCGAAAUGAUUUAUGUAGUAAUUGGAUCUAAGUUUUAGAAAGAGCAACCUUGAUUAGCUUAGCAAAAAUAACUGUUAACUAAGAGGGGAAAAAAUAGAAUACUGUGGCCACAUAUUAAAGCACAUCACUCUUAUUUAGUCUCCUCUUUUACCAGAAGAAGGUUAUCUGAAUCAUAGCAUUUAGGACGAGGAAUCUAGAAUAUUCCAAAUUGAAGAUUCUUGGGACUCUGUGUUAUGUUUUAAAUUAAGAAAUUCGAAGCCAAGGUUUAGUGUUCGUUCAUUCCAUUCUCAGGGUUUUUUUUUUUUUUUUCAUUUAAUUCCAGGCAACGCAUUCUGCUUCAUUAUAUCAAAGUUGAAGCAAAUUUGCUGCCGUUCUAACAGCCAGUUCAGCUGCUUUUAUAAUGUUGUUCUUGACCUACUGCUGGGACCAUAACUUCCAUACAUUCAACCAAUUGGUUCAAGUGUUUCACAUUUCUUUGGACCAUUUGUGCAAUGAUUCCCUGGCUAGAAAAUAGAGUGUUUGAAUCAUUACUGCUUAAAGCCAUGUUUAGUCAAAAUUUUAUUUUUUGUUUGUUUAAGUAUAGGGCAUUUACUUGACUCUCUUCUAAAACACCUCUAUGAGUUGUAUCUUCCAGACCAUGAACAGUGCAUUUCCCCUCCCCUUCUCUCUCCCAUCCUCCAUUGCUCCCUUUCUAUCUUCUCUUCUCCCUUUUCUUUUUUAAAAUGAUUUUUUUUUCGGAGCUGAGAACUGAACCCAGGGCCUUGCACUUGCUAGGCAAACCCUCUACCACUGAGCUAAAUCCCCAACCCCCUCUUCUCCCUUUUCUUUACUUCCCUUUUCUUAUUAUCUAUUUUCUUUCCUUGUGGGGCCAGAAAUUAAAAUGGAGCAAAUCCUUAUUUUAAAAGUGUUCUCUCUUUUUAAAAAAAAUUAUUUAUUUGUUUUAUAUAUAAGUACACUGUCACAGCCUUCAGACACACCAGAAGAGGGCGUCAGAUACCAUUACAGAUGGUUGUGAGCCACCAUGUGGUUGCUGGUAAUUGAACUCAGGACCUCUGGAAGAGCAGUCAGUGCUCUUAACCACUGAGCCACCUCUCCAGCCCAAUGGAGUAAUACCUAGUAGAAAUAUAAUGUACUUUUGAGUUUCUAGUUAUUUUGGAAUGCUCCUCAAUAGACUAAAAAAAAAAACCCAAGAAGUACAAGGAAGUCAUGUUCACCUAUGAUAUAAUAAAUUAAGAGAACUAAAAAAGGAGCCACUAUACAAAAGAUCAAUUCUACAUUCUUUUUUAAAAAAAGAUUUUAUUUAUCUAUAUGAGUGCUCUAUUUGCAUGUAUGCCUGCAUGACAGAGAGGUUAUUAGAUCCCAUUGUAGAUGGUUGUGAACUGCCACAUAGGUGCUGGGAAUUGAAGUAAGGACUUCUGGGAGAGUAGCCACCAAGCAACCUCUCCAGCCCCAAUCAUGCAUUCUUUUAAAGACCACUGUUGUAUUUAUUGUGCUUAUCCAUUUAUUGGUUUCAAAAUCAUUUUAAUAAAGUUUCGUUAUGAUACUCCCACAAAAAAGACCAUAGAAACAUCUGAGUAAUUUUAUGUAUCAAAGUUAAGUAGAAAUCCACUUCUCUAAUGAAUUUUCUAUUUGCUUGAGGGGAUGGAAGUUUCACACCCAAUGUAAUAAAAAAGGGUAACAAGUCUGGAGUCAUAACUGUCAUCCUGCCCUAGACCUCUGUAAACUAUCUUUUUUGUUUGUUUGAUUUUGCUUGUGUUCUCAGAAGCCAGAUGUACCAUUUGUAAGUGUUAAUUCCCUCACCUGAUAGGGUUAAUGAAAGUGUGCUGGUUUGAGUAAGAAUGGCCCCAUAGGCUCAUGUAUGUGAAUGCUUAGUUCUCAGGGACUGGGACUACAUAGAAGGAUUAGGAGGUAUGGCCUUACUGGAAGAAGUGUGUGGGCCCUGGGGUUUCAGAAGCUCAAAGCAGGCCCAGUGGCUCUGUGGCCUUGGAUGCCAGAUGGCAGAACUCUCAGCUACUUCUCUAGUACCGUGUCAGUCUGCACACUGUCAUGUCCCAAACCCACUGCCAUGGUGAUAAUGGACUAAACUUCUGAAACUGUAAGCAAGUCCCAAUUAAAUGCUUUCUUUUAUAUAAGAGUUGCCGGGGUUGGGGAUUUAGCUCAGUGGUAGAGCGCUUGCCUAGGAAGCACAAGGCCCUGGGUUCGGUCCCCAGCUCCGAAAAAGAGAAAAGAAAAAAAAAAAAAAAGAGUUGCCAUGGUUGUGUCCCUUCACUGCAUUAGAACCCUGACUAAGACAGUGAGACAUAUUUCCUAUAGAAUACAAAGAUAAUGGUAGGUAGUAAAUAUAAGGGGGUUGCUGGCUGUGAUUGUGUGUUGUGCUAAUAUAUACUAUGAUAUACUGUAUAUAGGAACUGUAACAGAAAAGAAAUACUUUUAUUUUUGUAGCUUAUUUAUGUUUUGUAGUGUAAGACAUUCCUUGGGACUUUGCAUUUUUUCUAACUUGGAACUUUUGGGUGUGUGUGUGUGUCUAAAUUAAAUUACUUAACUUUCCUAAUCUUUUUCUGAUAAACCACCUUUUUCUAUCCAGGCUCUGCCUUCUACAGAACCUCCAAAAACAGUUCUACCAGCUGGGACAAGAGUUCAAAUUAGAUCAGUGUUUCAAGAUUUGGAUACAUGGGGUAGAAGAACAUUAAGGCAGAACACUGCGAUGCUCCAAUUUUUGAUCUACUGUGACAUUAUUAGAAACAAAUGUAUGAGUGUCUAAUAAACAGCCAAGUCCUCCUGAAUUCAGAUUGCUUCUGGGUUGGUGCCCUUAGAACGGAACCCUGCCAUGUGUUAUUAAAGUGCCUGCCGUCCGAAUGCUCAAGAGACUGAAGAAUGGUGAGGAAUGAUCGGCUGCUAACUGGCAACUUUGAUGUUUUACAUCAUUUUAAGAGAAAUAAUCAGCAACUUGGACCUUCAUUCAGAAACAUGGCUGCUCUCCGGAAUCCCUCUCGAAACGUUUUGCAGCAUCAAAAGGAAGAAUUGUUCUGAGCUGCGCCUGCGCAUGACUAUGGGGGUGCCCCCUGGGAGUUGUUUGGCAAAACUGUUACUUGCUUCUUGGUUCUCAGAUCUGUUCCUUGUCCUUAAUGUCCUCCACUGUGUAUCACAAAACACGCCAUUUACCUGGCCUCUGGCAGGUUAGACCAAUGAAGGGCGGACCAAAAGAGUGGCAGGAGAGUGGAGGGAAGAGGCCUGGCUAUCUCUCUCCCCACUCGCUGCCUCAGGCAGCUGCUCCACAGAGACAGAUUUCCUGAAAAGUUAAUGAAGCCGAGGCUCCAGGGCCUCUCACUUGCAUAGGCCUCUGCCAAUGUCCUUUGUGCAUACUUUUGAACAGCUUUAUUGAAAUAUAAUUUACGUGCCAUAAAAUUCACCCAUUGUGCAUAUAUGGUUCAAUGGUUUUUACUAAAUUUAUCGAGUUGUACAACCAUUGCCACCAUCCAUUUUUAAAAUAUUUCCAUCACCACCACCACCACCCACUAAAUUCCCCUGUGUCUGUUUUCAGUUAUUCCUGGCUCCCAACCCCAGGCUUUAGUAACCACUAAUUUGCUUUCUGUCUCUAUGGAUUUGCUUAUUGUAAACAUUCACAUCAAUGACAUUGUAGUAUGUGGUCUUUUGUAACUAGUUUCCUUCACUGUGCCAAGUAUUUUUUAAGGUUCAUCCAUGUAGGAGUGGACAUAAGUGUAAAAUUGCCCAAUACUGUUUCAUUUACUAGAUAUUUAUUUUAUUAAUAUAGUCACCAAUUGAAAGACAUAUGUUUGACUUUGCACUUAUAAAUGUGUGUCUUUUCUAAAGAACAUUCCCAAGAUCCUCUAAGCUUCAGGUCUCUAAAUCCAGAAGCUUCCCCCAUCUCUGUGUCACUAGCCCUGUGGCCAGUAACCUCAAUGAAAAGCUCUUGUGAUCCUGCUUCCAUUGGGAUCCUCUGGUGGUCCACUGUCCUUCAACAUGGGGUAGAAUUAGAGUCUUCACCCUACCAAAGACAAUGUGCCUCAAAAUUUGGGAUCUUUAGCAGGGCAUCAUAGCUCAUGCCUUUGAUAUCAGUGCUCUGGAGACAGAGCCAAACAGAUCUCUGUGAGUUCAAGGCCAGCCUGGUCUACAAAGUGAGUUCCAGGAUAGCCUGGGCUACAUCGAGAAGCCCUGUCUCAAAACAACAAAACAAACAAACAAACAUACUGCUGAGCUUGCAGAUAACACAGCAACAGUUCUGACAGGUGAUGACAGAAUGGCUGAGCAGUCUUGCCAUCCUUGUCUACCAAGAGCAUUAUGGAGCAGAGAUAGAUAUGUCCGCAACAAUAUGUACUCUCCAAUGGCAGCAGCCAUCCUUGGUAUUCCCCUUUGAUGCAGCAAAAACAGGCAAUGCUGGUGUGUGGAGAAGGCAGGGUAGGUGAUCAUAUGAGGCCAAACCGUACUUCUGUGGGGCUCAAGUAGCUUCACUGGGGAAUUCAUGCUACACAUACCCUGGCUUGCCUGCUUUGGAAACGGAUUUAAGGCCCCAUUAGGAUACACUGCCAGUUUGUAUAGAGUAGGUCUGUAGAGGUAGACUGCUAUAGUAGGAAAUCCAGUGCCUCCUUGUCCCUUCUGCUUGAUAAUGAACCUGCUCUAGGAAAGGACCAGUCUUGGAAAGCAGAAAAGAAGCCCUUGGCAUUGGCUUCUCAUCUUUCUAGCCCUGUCCUGGUGGGUAGGAGGGGCCAGUGCCUUUCAUUGGAAAUUGUUUUUGCUUUCAGCCCCAGCACUAUUAUUGUUUCUGCUGGGUGGAGGCCCAAGAGGAAACAGACCAUUAAGAAGGCCUCUGGUAUCAUUUGGUCCCUUUUGGGCUGAGUGGUCCCUGCCAACAGCAAUCAUUCUUCACUCACACCCUGUGGUCCUUUGCUUCAAGCAGCUUCUCCCCUUUUCCUGCAUGAUUUCAUGGAUCAGCAUCUUCGUUCCCAUCCCCCAGCUCUGACAGAGGCAUUGGCAGCUUCCUUGGACACAAGUGGGCUCAGAAGCUCUCCCUGAGUUGCAGAGGUGAUGGAUUGCCUUGGAGUUAUCUUGCCUUUCUCCUAGCAGCAGACACCCAGCUGACAGAGGGACAGACAGAAUGUUGGCAAUAGGUGAGCCUGAUGUCAGAAACCCUGUAUGCAGUUUGUUUCUGAGAGCCCGUCUAAAUAGUGAAGAAGGGCAUACAAAGAAGGAAAUUGGGAAUCAAAUGGCUGGGAGGAUUACAAGAUUGAUUUCAUUCUUGCUGCAACUGUCAGCUGCUUGGGGAAUCUGAGCCCAGGCCUCAGCUAGAGCUGAGGAGAAGCUAAAGACAAUGGCUAAUAAGAAAAAUGCUUCCCCCAACCCCGCCUUCUAAGGCCCACUGCAGUUUGCUCUUGCUGGAAUAGAUUUCACUAAGCAACUCUGUAUUGAGUCUCAUCAUUUACAUCUUCAUUAAAUAUUAAUCUGCUCUCCUGCA